UACGUAGGUGGCAAGCGUUAUCCGGAUUUAUUGGGCGUAAAGAGAACGCAGGCGGUCUUUUAAGUCUGAUGUGAAAGCCUUCGGCUUAACCGGAGUAGUGCAUUGGAAACUGGGAGACUUGAGUGCAGAGGAGGAGAGUGGAACUCCAUGUGUAGCGGUGAAAUGCGUAGAUAUAUGGAAGAACACCAGUGGCGAAAGCGGCUCUCUGGUCUGUAACUGACGCUGAGGUUCGAAAGCGUGGGUAGCAAACAGG
rnacentral:rRNA from 1 species